rnacentral:rRNA from 1 species
AGCGAACGCUGGCGGCAGGCCUAACACAUGCAAGUCGAACGAAGUCUUCGGACUUAGUGGCGGACGGGUGAGUAACACGUGGGAACGUGCCUUUAGGUUCGGAAUAACUCAGGGAAACUUGUGCUAAUACCGAAUGUGCCCUUCGGGGGAAAGAUUUAUCGCCUUUAGAGCGGCCCGCGUCUGAUUAGCUAGUUGGUGAGGUAAAGGCUCACCAAGGCGACGAUCAGUAGCUGGUCUGAGAGGAUGAUCAGCCACAUUAGGACUGAGACACGGCCCAAACUCCUACGGGAGGCAGCAGUGGGGAAUCUUGCGCAAUGGGCGAAAGCCUGACGCAGCCAUGCCGCGUGAAUGAUGAAGGUCUUAGGAUUGUAAAAUUCUUUCACCGGGGACGAUAAUGACGGUACCCGGAGAAGAAGCCCCGGCUAACUUCGUGCCAGCAGCCGCCGUAA